rnacentral:rRNA from 1 species
CGGGGGAGCAAGCGUUGUUCGGAUUUACUGGGCGUAAAGGGCGCGUAGGCGGCGCAACAAGUCACUUGUGAAAUCUCCGGGCUUAACUCGGAGCGGUCAAGUGAUACUGUCGUGCUAGAGUGCGAAGGGGCAACUGGAAUUCUCGGUGUAGCGGUGAAAUGCGUAGAUAUCGAGAGGAACACCUGCGGCGAAGGCGGGUUGCUGGGCCGACACUGACGCUGAUGCGCGAAAGCUAGGGGAGCGAACGGGAUUAGAUACCCCGGUAGUCCUAGCCUUAAACGAUGGAUGCUUGGUGUCCGAGGUUAGAUAGUCCUCGGGUGCCGUCGCUAACGCUUUAAGCAUCCCGCCUGGGGAGUACGCACGCAAGUGUG